AGGGUUUGAUCAUGGCUCAGGAUGAACGCUGGCUGUGUGCCUAAUACAUGCAUGUCGAGCGGAAGUAGCAAUACUUUAGCGGCGAAUGGGUGAGUAACACGUGCUUAAUCUACCUUUUAGAUUGGAAUACCUAAUGGAAACAUUGGUUAAUGCCGGAUACGCAUGAAGUCGCAUGACUUCGUUGUGAAAGGAGCGUUUGCUCCGCUAAGAGAUGAGGGUGCGGAACAUUAGCUAGUUGGUGAGGUAAUGGCCCACCAAGGCUAUGAUGUUUAGCCGGGUCGAGAGACUGAACGGCCACAUUGGGACUGAGAUACGGCCCAAACUCCUACGGGAGGCAGCAGUAGGGAAUAUUCCACAAUGAGCGAAAGCUUGAUGGAGCGACACAGCGUGCACGAUGAAGGCCCUCGGGUUGUAAAGUGCUGUUGCAAGGGAAGAACAGUUAGUUGAGGAAAUGCUUCUAAUCUGACGGUACCUUGUUAGAAAGCGAUGGCUAACUAUGUGCCAGCAGCCGCGGUAAUACAUAGGUCGCAAGCGUUAUCCGGAAUUAUUGGGCGUAAAGCGUUCGUAGGCUGUUUAUUAAGUCUGGAGUCAAAUCCCAGGGCUCAACCCUGGCUCGCUUUGGAUACUGGUAAACUAGAGUUAGAUAGAGGUAAGCGGAAUUCCAUGUGGAGCGGUGAAAUGCGUAGAUAUAUGGAAGAACACCAAAGGCGAAGGCAGCUUACUGGGUCUAUACUGACGCUGAGGGACGAAAGCGUGGGGAGCAAACAGGAUUAGAUACCCUGGUAGUCCACGCUGUAAACGAUGAUCAUUAGUCGGUGGAAAACUACUGACGCGGCUAACGCAUUAAAUGAUCCGCCUGAGUAGUAUGCUCGCAAGAGUGAAACUUAAAGGAAUUGACGGGGACCCGCACAAGCGGUGGAGCAUGUGGUUUAAUUUGAAGAUACGCGGAGAACCUUACCCACUCUUGACAUCCCCUGCAAAGCUAUAGAGAUAUAGUAGAGGUUAACAGGGUGACAGAUGGUGCAUGGUUGUCGUCAGCUCGUGUCGUGAGAUGUUUGGUCAAGUCCUGCAACGAGCGCAACCCCUAUCUUUAGUUACUAACGAGUCAUGUCGAGGACUCUAGAGAUACUGCCUGGGUAACCGGGAGGAAGGUGGGGAUGACGUCAAAUCAUCAUGCCUCUUACGAGUGGGGCUACACACGUGCUACAAUGGUCGGUACAAAGAGAAGCAAUAUGGCGACAUGGAGCAAAUCUCAAAAAGCCGAUCUCAGUUCGGAUUGAAGUCUGCAAUUCGACUUCAUGAAGUCGGAAUCGCUAGUAAUCGCAGAUCAGCUACGCUGCGGUGAAUACGUUCUCGGGCCUUGUACACUCCGCCC
rnacentral:rRNA from 2 species